UGUUAUUAUUAACCAGCAAGCUGGCAGUAAUGUUAACAUGCCAGACGAAAUGGUUAGCGGUAUUUCAUCCGUCUUUAUGUUCUAAGUUCAAAUUCUGUUGAGGUUGACUUCGCCUUUCAUCCUUUCGGGGUCGAUAAAUUAAGUACCAGUUGCGUACUGGGGAAGA